rnacentral:rRNA from 1 species
UGAGGAAUAUUGGUCAAUGGGCGAAAGCCUGAACCAGCGACGCCGCGUGGGUGAAGAAGGCCUUCGGGUCGUAAAGCCCUUUUCUGCGUGACGAGACAAGGACGGUAGCGCAGGAAUAAGUCUCGGCUAACUACGUGCCAGCAGCCGCGGUAAGACGUAGGAGGCAAGCGUUAUCCGGAGUUACUGGGCGUAAAGCGCGUGUAGGCGGGCGUGUAAGUGGUUCGUGAAAUAUCCGGGCUAAACUCGGGUAGGUCGAAUCAGACUGCAGGUCUGGAGGCGGGUAGAGGGGUGCGGAAUUCCGGGUGUAGCGGUGAAAUGUGUAGAUAUCCGGAGGAACACCAGAGGUGCAGACGGCGCCCUGGGCCCGACCUGACGCUGAGACGCGAAAGCUUGGGGAGCGAACGG